AUCAAUUUAGCACUAGCACUUAGGGUUUAAAUCAUAUCUGAGAUUCUAUUCAGGAAACCUGGUUCUCCGUUUAGGGUCUAGAUUUCUGCACCGCCGCCUUCUUCGCCAUGGUGAAGUAUUCCAGGGAGCCCGACAACCUGACCAAGUCAUGCAAAGCCAGGGGAUCUGAUCUCAGAGUCCACUUCAAGGUGGGUGUUUUUCUAGUUCAUUGUUGGAUUUUUGUACUUAAUUUAUCCAAAAA